rnacentral:rRNA from 1 species
UACGGGGGGGGGCAAGCGUUGUUCGGAAUUACUGGGCGUAAAGGGCUCGUAGGUGGCCAACUAAGUCAGACGUGAAAUCCCCAGGCUUAACCUGGGAACUGCGUCGGAUACUGGUUGGCUUGAAUUCGGGAGAGGGAUGCAGAAUUCCAGGUGUAGCGGUGAAAUGCGUAGAUAUCUGGAGGAACACCGGUGGCGAAGGCGGGUCUCUGGGCCGAUACUGACGCUGAGGAGCGAAAGCGUGGGGAGCGAACAGG